GGAGAAGAAGAAGUUCGUCAAGUUGAACGAAGAAGAAAAAAAAGCGAGACGGAAUUUCAAACGUCUGACAGCAUUUCAUCCGCAAACAAGACUAAACGGUGGAACGCAGAGCCGUCAUUCCACCGCAGAACUGCGGGGACAUUUCAAACGCGAGCUGCUGGAGACACCGCGUCUUCUCCUCGUGGUACUAAGCGAAGGCGCGUGCACGAGUUUAUCCUCCAGAGAGACUCGUGCACGCGCAGAUGGAGUGUGGACAGAGAACAUCCUCAACGUGCUCGUCACUUUAAUAGGAUUUAUUAAUAGGAUUACUUUAAAAACUUUAUUUGCACUUUCUCUUUACCUAUAGACGCAUAAGAGCAUCGCGAGGCCCUCAAGAGGAAGCAGCUGACUCCGGUGACAUGGGGGGUAAAAAGGGAGCAGGAUGGGAACGUGUGACAUGUUAUUGGAUGGAAAUAAACGGCCUCACGUUGUAGUCAAAAGGAAAA